rnacentral:rRNA from 1 species
GAUGAACGCUGGCGGCGUGCCUAAUACAUGCAAGUCGAGCGAACGGACGAGAAGCUUGCUUCUCUGAUGUUAGCGGCGGACGGGUGAGUAACACGUGGAUAACCUACCCAUAGGACUGGGAUAACUUCGGGAAACCGUAGCUAAUACCGGAUAAUAUUUUGAACCGCAUGGUUCAAAAGUGAAAGACGGUCUUGCUGUCACUUAUAGAUGGAUCCGCGCUGCAUUAGCUAGUUGGUAAGGUAACGGCUUACCAAGGCAACGAUGCAUAGCCGACCUGAGAGGGUGAUCGGCCACACUGGAACUGAGACACGGUCCAGACUCCUACGGGAGGCAGCAGUAGGGAAUCUUCCGCAAUGGGCGAAAGCCUGACGGAGCAACGCCGCGUGAGUGAUGAAGGUCUUCGGAUCGUAAAACUCUGUUAUUAGGGAAGAACAUAUGUGUAAGUAACUGUGCACAUCUUGACGGUACCUAAUCAGAAAGCCACGGCUAACUACGUG